UAUGGCCACACGACUCUGAAUGUGCCUGAUCCUGUCUGAUCUUAGAAGCUAAGCAAGGUCAGGUCUGGUUAGAACUUGGAUGGAAGAGAGUAAAAUCUGAUGGCUCAAAUAA
ensembl:rRNA 5S_rRNA 5S ribosomal RNA